rnacentral:rRNA from 1 species
UACGAAGGGGGCGAGCGUUGUUCGGAUUUACUGGGCGUAAAGGGCGCGCAGGCGGCUCCAAAAGUCAGGCGUGAAAGCCCCGGGCUUAACCUGGGAGGUGCGUCUGGGACUGUGGGGCUAGAGUUCGGGGAGAGGAGCGUGGAAUUCCCAGUGUAGAGGUGAAAUUCGUAGAUAUUGGGAAGAACACCGGUGGCGAAGGCGGCGCUUUGGACCGAGACUGACGCUGAGGCGCGAAAGCGUGGGGAGCAACAGG